UACGUAGGGUGCAAGCGUUAAUCGGAAUUACUGGGCGUAAAGCGUGCGCAGGCGGUUUUGUAAGUCUGUCGUGAAAUCCCCGGGCUCAACCUGGGAACUGCAUUUGUGACUGCAUGGCUGGAGUGCGGCAGAGGGGGAUGGAAUUCCGCGUGUAGCAGUGAAAUGCGUAGAUAUGCGGAGGAACACCGAUGGCGAAGGCAAUCCCCUGGGCCUGCACUGACGCUCAUGCACGAAAGCGUGGGGAGCAAACAGG
rnacentral:rRNA from 1 species